CAAAGCUUUAUUGCUGAAAGAUGGCUUCGCGUCUGAUUAGCUAGAUGGCGGGGUAACAGCCCACCAUGGCGACGAUCAGUAGCCGGUCUGAGAGGAUGAACGGCCACAUUGGGACUGAGAUACGGCCCAGACUCCUACGGGAGGCAGCAGUGGGGAAUAUUGGGCAAUGGGGGAAACCCUGACCCAGCAACGCCGCGUGAAGGAAGAAGGCCUUCGGGUUGUAAACUUCUUUUACCAGGGACGAAGGACGUGACGGUACCUGGAGAAAAAGCAACGGCUAACUACGUGCCAGCAGCCGCGGUAAUACGUAGGUUGCAAGCGUUGUCCGGAUUUACUGGGUGUAAAGGGCGUGUAGGCGGAGAUGCAAGUCGGGAGUGAAAUCCAUGGGCUCAACCCAUGAACUGCUUUCGAAACUGUAUCCCUUGAGUAUCGGAGAGGCAAGCGGAAUUCCUAGUGUAGCGGUGAAAUGCGUAGAUAUUAGGAGGAACACCAGUGGCGAAGGCGGCUUGCUGGACGACAACUGACGCUGAGGCGCGAAAGCGUGGGGAGCAAACAGGAUUAGAUACCCUGGUAGUCCACGCUGUAAACGAUGAAUACUAGGUGUGGGAGGACUGACCCCUUCCGUGCC
rnacentral:rRNA from 1 species